rnacentral:lncRNA from 1 species
AUGGGCUUUCCCAAGCCAUUCCAACCUCCUGCCUCUCACCUGAGACCGGCUGGUCCAGUCUCUGGCCUCCCCUCCCCCUUCCACGUCUCUCCAGUCUCCUCCCCCCCGCCCCCGCCCCAUUUCCGUUGCAGGCUCUGCACAGGCCUCCGGCGCUUCAACCGGAUGGAGAGAGGCGGCAGCGACCCGGGAUGGGCUUUGGUGUCAUCCGGACUCACACCCUCCCCCACGGCCACCCCCAGGGACCUGAGGCAAUUCCACCUUUACACUGACCUGCAGGGAUCCAGGGGAUUUUCCUCCCUCUUCCCUCACUCGAUUUGGGUCGCUCCCAAAAGACCAAGAGUCCUGCAGACAGGAGUGCUUGGUGAGCAGAUCCUGGUCCUGCUCAUUCUUAGGGACCUAACCUUCAUCACCCAGCCUCUAAAGCCACCUCAGCUGGAAGUGAUCUCUACCCCGCCCUGCCCCAUCAAUGCUGCAGGUAGGGUCUGCACCCCUCAUAUUGCUCUUAGCAAAUGUUGCCUUUUACCUUUCCCCUUUCCUGUGUGUGUUUGUGUUGGAUGGGGGUUAUCUAACCAGGCAGAUGUUCAAAUGUGGGUUGAUGGAGAGUGGGGGUCAGACUCCAGCUCUCAUGCUGCUUGAGUGGCUCUUGUGAUUUUAAACAGUGCAUCUCCCAGAAAUCUCAGAGAUUCAGAAGGAGCUGUAUGCCAAUUGGCUCACAGACGAUCCUACUUUCUGCUUGCACAAAAAUUGGAGCAGAAGUUUCAUUGUCCCCCUCCUCUGCUUAUUCUACUUACAGAUAGUCAGAACAACCCUAAUACCAUUUUUAUGGAGCUACUGACAGAGGAUAUUGUCCUGUUUUCCUAAAUAGUCAUAAGAGAGAGAUCAGUCAGCUCACUGGUGCACACCUUACCAAGAGCCAGAUGGUACAGGCCUUUACCUUCAUCCUCGUCCCUGAGCAAUUUCAGUGCAUCAAUAUAGCAUUCAGCUGCCUUUGAAAUCAAGUUAAUCACAGUAGCUUUUUAAAUGUAAGAUUUUUGGAGACAAGAGCAUUCUUGUCAAUUAAAAACUAUUUUUAAAAAGGAAUGAAAAGGGGGCACAAAUUGAUUUAAACAAUGAAGACAUGAAUUCUGGAGAGUAGACACCAUGUACCUCUGACCCAAUCAAUAUUCUGUUUUUAUACACCAAGAGGGCACUGGGGAUAGCUCCAAAGUCUAAAGCCUUUCAAGUGGUGUGAGGGGAGGAGAAAGGAGCUCUUAUACAAGAAUAUGAUAUCCAGAAUAUUGUUUACUAUGUUCUCUUUCGAAGUCAUUUCCUGAGGCUCUGUAUUCAGCAACUCCUGCAUAUUUCUUAUUGCUCUUUCAAAGCUCAUCCCAUAGAAUAGCUUGAGAGGGCUAUUUCUCUCCCUCGCUUCUCUAGCACGCUAUCUAUGGCUUGAAAACAACCCUCCCAGUAUGGCAAAAUCUGCUCCAGAUCCAAAGGUUUGGCUGCUGUGCAUGGACUCAAAGCAGUUGUCUUCUGAGAUGAUUUGCCCCUUUGGAGUGCAACGAGACCCAGCGCAUUUCAUCACUUUGCUCAACUGCGGGUAGUCCACUCAUGUUCUGAUGUAAAUGGUACACAUAGAGCCCAGGCUGAUUUCCACUUAGAUUGUAAGUCUCUGCUUCAGAAAGUAAACUCUUCUACCAUCCCUCCUGUCACUAUGUUCCCUGACAUUUGGAAAUUUGGCAUGCGUAAGUUUCAGAAGUUCCACAAACUCUUCAGAAUAGCCACUGGCCACAUCCAAGCAAAUGAACUUAACUUGAAGCACAACUUUUCAACUCUUCCAGAUAAUUCUGCCCACUUCCUGAACUCACAGCUAAAUGCUGCACACAUUGUGGAUUAUUGUGGCCAAGAGUUUCUAGUUAUCCAGAGCAUAGUGCUUAUGAAUUGCUGUGAACCUGAAAUGCUGUGUCAUAACCACUGCCAUUUCAUACGUCCCCAUGGUGUCUGUGUUGACCACAGUAAUAGGAAUCCUUGAGUUGGUCUGCUUAGACUUUCUUACUAUGUGACAGAAUGCUUAAGAUCCACCUCCCCUAGAUUCUUGAGAUUGCUUUGCUUAAGCCUUGAGGUUCAUAUCUAUGUAGAGCAUAUUGCUAGGUUGCGGAGAGGCACACUUCAGCUGUACUACAGCUUGGACCAGGCAACUUUCUCCUGUGGCAAAAGCAGAGUUGUUGAGGAGAGAGUGCUGUUGUUGCUGGCUAGGUGCUUUAAAAUAUUAAGUUUAUAAUGGAAAGAAAAUCUUUGCUGAAUUGUUGAUUCUGACUUAGUUGCCUGCACUCUAUUUACCCAUCCUAACUCUUUCAUCCUGUUUUGUUGACUUUCUGCUUUGUAUCCCUUACUUAUCUGUAAGUGCCAUAGGACAAAAACCUUAUCUGGUUCAACUUUGUAACCACUCCAAUGUUGAAAGUUCAAGUUGGUGGAAACGAUUUAAAUUUUCACUAAUAUGGGAAUGGUUAAAUAAAUUAUCCACACUGUGGAAAUUGUGCAGAUAUAAAAAGUAAUGAAAUAAAAAAUGUGUAGUGACAUCAAAUUAUACUGAAGUUAUAUUUUUGAGUGAAGAAAGUGGCAGAACAGUAUUUAGAGAAUACUGUCCCACGCACAUACAAAUAAUGCAUACAUAUAUGUGCAUGCAACUAGUUUAUUAAGUAGUUCUAAUUUUCUGGUAUAAACAUGGAACAAUUUUAUUUUUUCCAGUAAUUGCUGUCAACUAUGGUCUGUCACAUCUUCUGUUUCUCACUGAAUGAUGAAUUCAUUUAAUGACAUUUCAGUUUGUUUCCUCAACUAUUUAAUCACUUUCAUUCAUUAAGAGAGUUUUGUUUUGGAUUUUUGAAACUCAGUCUGGUUUAUUUUUUAAACUUUUUGUUUUGAAAUAAUUUUAGUUCUAAAGAAGAUAGUACAAAGCUUUUCUGUAAACCCUACAUCUAGCUUAGCCUAAUACCUGUGGUACAUUUAUAAAAACAAAGAAAUUAACAUUUGUGCAAUACUAUCUCUGACAGUGAGAAACCUGGCUCUCCUUUAUGCAUAAUUUAUUUACUUAUUUAUUUAACUCUAGUAUAUAGUUAAAGUAGUUUCAGAACUUCUAUCAUGUACCCCUGUGAGAAACAAAUUUCCCCACCAGAACAUAGCAUUUUUGUAUAGUUCUUUUUGUCUUGACCGUUAUAAUAUCCAGUCACUUUUUCAAAGCAGCUUAGGUCAGCUCUUUUUUUUCCCUACCCUUUUUAUUGAAGUUAUGGCAUACAUCUAUAAUAUAGGAGAUUCAUUUGCAACAGUGUGCUUUCUGUCUAGGGCUCCCCUACAUCUUGAUUUGUAUAUUUUUUAAUGGACAUAGAGCAAAAGUCACCCUUUGUGGUGUGCAGUUCUGUGAAAUUUGAAAACAUUCAUAUAGUCAUGUAUCAACCACCACAGUACCAUACUGAAGAGUUCUAUCACUCUAAAAUUUCCCUUGUGUGACCCCUUUGUAGUCAACUACUCCCCCCAUCCUCACCCUUGAAGCCUCUUUUAUAUCUAUAUAGAUUAACCUCUACAUAAUAUCAUAUAAAUGGAAUCAGACAAUACAUAUAUUUUUGAGUCUGGCUUCUUUCACUUAGCAAAAUACAUUUGAAAUGCAUACAUGUUGUGUGAAUCAGAAAUUUGUUCCUUUUAAUUACUGUGUAGUAUUCCAUUGUACAGAUGUAUAUUAUUUUCAGAUGUUAAAGCAACCGAACAUUCCUGAGGUAAAUACCACUUUGUUGUAGUGUAUGAUGAUUUUUAUAUGUUGCUGGAUUCAAUUUCCUAUCAUCUUGUUUAGUACUUUUGCAUAUAUAUUCAUAACAGUUAGUGGUCUGUAGUUUUCUUGCGAUGUCUUUGACCGGUUUUAGUAUCAGGGUAAUACAGGUCUUACGAUGAGUUGGGAAGUGUUCCUUCCCCUUCUAUUUAUGGAAGAGUUUGCUAAGGAUUUGUAUUAAUUCUUCUUUAUAUGCUUGGUAGAAUUAAUCAGCACAGUCAUCUAGGCCUGGGCUUUUGGGGGGCAAAUAAUUAUUUUUUAUUAUUAUUUCAAUUUCUUAACUUAUUAUUAUAUUGAUUUAUUCAGAUUAUCGUUUUCUUUUUGAGUCAAUUUUGAUAGGAAUUUGUCCAUGUCAUCUAAGUUAUCUAAUUCAUUGACAUACAGUUGUUCAUAGUAUUCCUUUUAAUCAUUUUUUUUCCUGAGAGGUCAAUAGUAAUGCCCCUCUUUCAUUUCUUUCUUGCUUUCUUUCUUUUUUUAAAUUUUAUUCAUUGUUUUUGG